rnacentral:rRNA from 1 species
UUUUGGUGCUGGCGACCGGCGGACGGGUGAGUAACGCGUGGGUAACCUACCCCAUGGACCGGGAUAACCUUUCGAAAGGGGGGCUAAUACCGGAUAAGCUCACGGCCUGUUAUGGGUUGUGAGAAAAGGUGGCCUCUGAUCCCUUCGGGGUCCCCGCAAAGUCGCAAGACUUUGUGGGGUGAAUCAUGCUACCGCCAUGGGAUGGGCCCGCGUCCUAUCAGCUAGUUGGUGGGGUAAGAGCCUACCAAGGCUACGACGGGUAGCCGGCCUGAGAGGGUGGUCGGCCACACUGGCACUGAGACACGGGCCAGACUCCUACGGGAGGCAGCAGUAGGGAAUAUUGGGCAAUGCCCGAAAGGGUGACCCAGCGACGCCGCGUGGGGGAUGAAGGCCUUCGGGUCGUAAACCCCUUUUGCAGGGGAAGAAACCUACGAGCUCGAAUAGGGCUCGUAGCUGACGGUACCCUGCGAAUAAGCGCCGGCCAACUACGUGCCAGCAGCCGCGGUAAAACGUAGGGCGCAAGCGUUGCGCGGAUUCACUGGGCGUAAAGGGUCCGUAGGCGGGACUGUAAGUCGAGUGUGAAAGCCCGGGGCUCAACCUCGGGACUGCACUCGAUACUGCAGUCCUAGAGUCCGGAAGAGGGGGGCGGAAUUCCCGGUGUAGCGGUGGAAUGCGUAGAUAUCGGGAGGAACGCCGAUGGCGAAGGCAGCCCCCUGGUCCGGUACUGACGCUCAGGGACGAAAGCGUGGGGAGCAAACAGGAUUAGA